rnacentral:rRNA from 1 species
CAUGGCCAUACCACCCUCAACACAUCCUAUCUCAUCUGGUCUCUGAAGCUAAGCAGGGUUGGGCCUGGUUAGUACUUGGAAGGGAGAAAAUAAAUAACGUAUAAACGUUUGUAUUUAGCAUGAUAGCUGCUAUGC